rnacentral:rRNA from 1 species
UACGGAGGAUGCGAGCGUUAUCCGGAUUUAUUGGGUUUAAAGGGUGCGCAGGCGGCCUGUUAAGUCAGCGGUAAAAAUUCGGGGCUCAACCCCGUCGUGCCGUUGAAACUGAUGUUCUUGAGUGGGCGAGAAGUAUGCGGAAUGCGUGGUGUAGCGGUGAAAUGCAUAGAUAUCACGCAGAACACCGAUUGCGAAGGCAUCUGACGAAUCGGAGAUUGACGCUGAUGCACGAAAGCGUGGGUAUCGAACAGG